rnacentral:rRNA from 1 species
UUGCGUAGGUGGCACUGUAAGUUGGUAGUGAAAGCGUGUGGCUCAACCACAUACACAUUACCAAAACUGCAGAGCUAGAGGACAAGAGAGGUUAUUAGAAUUCCUAGUGUAGCGGUGGAAUGCGUAGAUAUUAGGAGGAAUACCGAUGGCGUAGGCAGAUAACUGGCUUGUUCCUGACACUAAGGCACGAAAGCGUGGGGAGCGAACG